rnacentral:rRNA from 1 species
UACGUAGGGGGCAAGGCGUUGUCCGGAUUUAUUGGGCGUAAAGAGCGUGUAGGCGGCCAGGUAGGUCUGCUGUGAAAACUCGAGGCUUAACCUCGAGCUGUCGGCGGAAACCAUCUGGCUAGAGUCCGGAAGAGGAGAAUGGAAUUCCCGGUGUAGCGGUGAAAUGACGCAGAUAUCGGGAAGAACACCCGUGGCGAAGGCGGUUCUCUGGGACGGUACUGACGCUGAGACGCGAAAGCGUGGGGAGCGAACAGG